UCCAUUUCCACGUCGCGUUAUCUUUGCGCGUUCCCAUAAAAAGCUCUGACGACGCAGUAGACGUCACCAAUCAACAAAACAAGUUCAGACGUGUAAAUUUCCUCAAAUUUUCUGCUGAAGGGGACCGUUUUUUUGAAUUAUGGCCAUUGUUGGAUCCGGAAUAUUCAAGAUUCACCGAAUUUUGGAAGGAACCACUCUCAGUCAUCGAGUCGUGAAAGUACCCGACAGAAGAAU